UACGGAGGGGGCUAGCGUUGUUCGGAAUUACUGGGCGUAAAGCGCACGUAGGCGGCUUUGUAAGUUAGAGGUGAAAGCCCAGGGCUUAACCCUGGAAUUGCCUUUAAGACUGCAUCGCUAGAAUCGUGGAGAGGUGAGUGGAAUUCCCAGUGUAGAGGUGAAAUUCGUAGAUAUUGGGAAGAACACCAGUGGCGAAGGCGGCUCACUGGACCGACACUGACGCUGAGGCGCGAAAGCGUGGGGAGCAAACAGG
rnacentral:rRNA from 1 species